rnacentral:rRNA from 1 species
AUUGAACGCUGGCGGCAUGCCUUACACAUGCAAGUCGAACGGCAGCACGGGAGCAAUCCUGGUGGCGAGUGGCGAACGGGUGAGUAAAGUAUCGGAACGUGCCCAGUCGUGGGGGGUAACGUAGCGAAAGUUACGCUAAUACCGCAUACGAUCCAUGGAUGAAAGAGGGGGAUCGCAAGACCACGCGCGAUUGGAGCGGCCGAUAUCAGAUUAGGUAGUUGGUGGGGUAAAGGCUCACCAAGCCGACGAUAGUUAGCUGGUCUGAGAGGACGACCAGCCACACUGGGACUGAGACACGGCCCAGACUCCUACGGGAGGCAGCAGUGGGGAAUUUUGGACAAUGGGCGCAAGCCUGAUCCAGCCAUGCCGCGUGCAGGAUGAAGGCCUUCGGGUUGUAAACUGCUUUUGUACGGAACGAAAAGGUUUGACUUAAUACGUUGGACUCAUGACGGUACCGUAAGAAUAAGCACCGGCUAACUACGUGCCAGCCGCCGCGGUAA